rnacentral:tRNA from 1 species
UCGGGAUUGGUGCAAUAGGCAGCACGCCGGAUUUUGGCUCCGGAGAUGCGGGUUCGAAGCCAGCAUCCCGAU